rnacentral:rRNA from 1 species
AAACUCAAAGGAAUUGACGGGGGCCCGCACAAGCGGUGGAGCAUGUGGUUUAAUUCGAAGCAACGCGAAGAACCUUACCAGGUCUUGACAUCCUCUGACAACCCUAGAGAUAGGGCUUCUCCUUCGGGAGCAGAGUGACAGGUGGUGCAUGGUUGUCGUCAGCUCGUGUCGUGAGAUGUUGGGUUAAGUCCCGCAACGAGCGCAACCCUUGAUCUUAGUUGCCAUCAUUAAGUUGGGCACUCUAAGGUGACUGCCGGUGACAAACCGGAGGAAGGUGGGGAUGACGUCAAAUCAUCAUGCCCCUUAUGACCUGGGCUACACACGUGCUACAAUGGACGGUACAAAGAGCUGCAAGACCGCGAGGUGGAGCUAAUCUCAUAAAACCGUUCUCAGUUCGGAUUGUAGGCUGCAACUCGCCUACAUGAAGCUGGAAUCGCUAGUAAUCGCGGAUCAGCAUGCCGCGGUGAAUACGUCCCCGGGCCUGNACACACCGCCCGU